GGAUGAGCCCGCGGCCUAUCAGCUAGUCGGUGGGGUAACGGCCUACCGAGGCGAUGACGGGUAGCUGGUCUGAGAGGACGACCAGCCACACUGGCACUGACACACGGGCCAGACUCCUACGGGAGGCAGCAGUGGGGAAUUUUGGGCAAUGGGCGAAGGCCUGACCCAGCAACGCCGCGUGAAGGAGGAAAUCCUUCGGGAUGUAAACUUCACAAGUAAGGGAAGAAAGCAAUGACGGUACCUUACGUAAGCCACGGCUAACUACGUGCCAGCAGCCGCGGCCG
rnacentral:rRNA from 1 species